GACAUUUUAGUUUCCUUUUCUUAAAAAAAAAUUAAAACAAUGCCACUUCGAAGUUGCAAGAGGGUGCGUUUUGUAAAGCACUAUUUCGGAUGCCUGACAAGUCAUGUAUUAAUGAGUAGUGCAGUGUAAAACCCAGAAUGAUAAACCAUGCUGACUUCUACAUAAUUACAAGAAGCAAAAUACUGCAGAUGCUAGACACCUGAAAUAAAAACAGAAAAUACAAGAAAUUUUCAGCAGUAACCAUUGAGAGGAAUAAGGUUAACAUUUUGGGUCAACAUCGUCAUGGUGAUCUGAUGAAAAGACAUCAACCAAAAAUAUUGGAUGGAAUCUUCUCUUUUAUCCCCAGGACUCUGUGGGAAUUUGGAGAAAUGAUUGCUGGGCCUCUUACUGAGAUAUUUGUAUCAUCGAUAGUCACAGGCAUUGCUUUUUGAGGAUGCAACAGAAGUCAAGGAGAUGGUCUUCCAGUCCUGCCGUUACAAAUCCAAUUUUCUUCAUGCUGCUCUAUCGAAUCUUUUUUAAAAAUUCAUUCACAUGAUGUGAACUUCACUGACUGGUCCAGGAUUUAUUGCCCACACCUAGUUGCCUGAGAAAAAGUGGUCGUGAAUCUUCACUUCACCUGAUGAAACAGUAGUGC